AUAUGAUUCAUAUCAACUGGUUAUCAUAUUUUCAAAGUCCAAUUCACGGAUUAAUCCUUGGUUUCGACUCUGCUCUCUCGUUUCAGCAUAAAUCUCCCUUAAGAGGUCAAGUCUAGUUGCUGUUACACCGCAAGCUUCAUCUCUGCUCUUCAAGAACUCAAGUUACGUUCCAGUUUCCCUCUCAAGUAUCAUCCUUCUCAUCUGGCAUCCUGAAUCCCUCGUCUGGUUGCUACAGUUCCGGUUCCUAUUUGUUCGCAGCCAGAAAGAGGAAAUGACAUCACUGGGAGGGACUCAUAUACC